rnacentral:misc_RNA from 1 species
UCCGAGUUGUCCCCGGCAGUCUCCUACGAGUCCCCGGCAUUACCCGCUGGCAACAUAGGACAAGGGUUGCGCUCGUUGCGGGACUUAACCCAACAUCUCACGACACGAGCUGACGACAACCAUGCACCACCUGUCACUCUGUCCCCCGAAGGGGAACGUCCUAUCUCUAGGAUUGUCAGAGGAUGUCAAGACCUGGUAAGGUUCUUCGCGUUGCUUCGAAUUAAACCACAUGCUCCACCGCUUGUGCAGGCCCCCGUCAAUUCCUUUGAGUUUUAAUCUUGCGGCCGUACUCCCCAGGCGGGGCACUUAACGCGUAAGCUGCGACACGGAGAGGGCCGAUCCCCCCCACACCUAGCACCCAUCGUUUACGGCGUGGACUAC